UUUAUUCUCCAGUUUGCGAUCGAUUCUGGGGGAAAAAAGGCACACAAAAGGAGGCAACAAGAGAGUUCCAGGACUCUCGACGAUUAAAAUUAUUUCCCUUAAAAAAUAAAUUACAAGACUUCCAAAUCCGAUACAGAAAUGUUUAAAAAUGCAAUUCGUCUGGUUCCAUACAAAGGUAGGACAAGCUUUUGAGUAUAGGAUGAAUGAAGGUGGAUUUAGGUUACAUAGAAACACGACACCAAAAUAUAUGGGAGUGCGACUCCCAGAAUCCUUUAGCACAGGGUUUCCUGGAGAAUUCUGGGAGCAGCACACCCAAAAGAUUUGGUGGGUACCAGGGAUUCAUGCCUUUACAAUGGCAGGAACAGAGGAACGAAUUUGAGAAUACAGGUAAUCCUUGACUUACAACCAUAAUUUGAGUCAUAAACCUAUGUUGUUAAGUGAGACAUUUGUUGUGAAGCUUUGCCCUAUUUUACGAUUUUUCUUCCUACGGUCGUUAAGUGAAUCAAUUGCAGUUGUUAAUGACCCGGUUGUUAAAUGAAUCUGGCUUCCCCGUUGACUUUGCUUGUCGGAAAAGGGGGUCACGUGACCCCGGGACACUGCAACCGUCAUAAAUAUGAACCAGUUGCCAAGCAUCCAAAUCUUGGGUCACAUGCAGUGGUGAAAUUCAGACUUUUUUACUACCGAUUCUAUGGGCAUGGUGUGGUGUGGCUUGGUGGGCAUGGCAGGGGAAGGAUACCGCAAAAUCUCCAUUCCCACCUCGCUCUGGGACCAAAUACCAGAGGUGGUAUUUGCCGGUUCUCCAAACUCCUCAAAAUUUAUGCUACCGGUUCUCUAGAACCUGCUGGAUUUCACCCCUGGUCAUGUGACCAUGAGGAUGUUGCAAUGUCCAUUAAGUGUGAAAAAUGGUUGUAAGGCACUUUUUUCAGUGAAUUUGCAACUUUGGACGGUCACUAAAGGAACUGUUUUAAAUCGAGGACUAACCGUACUGUAUGAGUGUUAAGAGUUGACUUACUUUUGAUUUUGCAGAGGUGGUGUAAUUGGACACCAGCAUCCACAGAAUGGGUCAAAAACGACACAUCCCGGG